UACGAAGGGGGCUAGCGUUGUUCGGAAUCACUGGGCGUAAAGCGCACGUAGGCGGAUCUUUAAGUCAGGGGUGAAAUCCCGAGGCUCAACCUCGGAACUGCCUUUGAUACUGGGGAUCUCGAGUCCGGGAGAGGUGGAGUGGAACUGCGAGUGUAGAGGUGAAAUUCGUAGAUAUUCGCAAGAACACCAGUGGCGAAGGCGGCUCACUGGCCCGGAACUGACGCUGAGGUGCGAAAGCGUGGGGAGCAAACAGGG
rnacentral:rRNA from 1 species